UAAUUUUUUUUUGUACAUGUCGAGAAGUGAUCAAGGUUGGCUGUUUGUUAGCAACGCAAAGAUCAAUACAGAUGUUUUAAGCAAAAAAAUACGUGUAUUGAGCUCGCGAUCUCCGACUAUUUACAUAUAAUCUACAUGCAUUUACUAUAAAUAUUCGCUAUUACUGUUUUGUUCGGUCCUCAGCUACAAUGGUCAAACCUUGUUACCUUUGAGCCCACUGAGUUUCUCGUCGGAUCUUCUCAGUGGGUCGCGUUUCCGAUCCGGUGGUAGAUUCUGCGAAGCACUGCUCUUGCUAAGGUCAUCACUCCGAUUUGAGCCUGGUUAGCUCCCUACUAGCUACGGUUACGCUAAAAUAGCCUCUAAGGCUAUCACUUUAGGAAUUCACAGGAUCACUCACUAGGUUAACCUGAAGAUUUCAUGGAAAUCGGUCAAGCCACUUCAUUGUCUAUAGGGAACAUACCCACAUCGACUUUUGGCUAGUGUUGGCGAAUUCUUUCAGGUUGAGCCGGUGGCAUCUCGUACCCGUCCAGGCGUAGCUGGAAUAGACUACCAGUAAAUAGAUAGGAAGGGCUGGAUCGCAACAGCUGCUCAUUAACAUUAGCAAUGUCAGGAUACGUUACGGGGACAUGAAGCUAUGUUCUGCCACAGAUUCUUUACAAAUCUGGUUUGGAGACGGACAUGUUCUGAAAGCGAUAAGGAAAGAACGAAAAGGCGAGUUCAUUCUAUAACGAGGCUGAACUGCGAAUUAUCAUCUUUCUAUCUAUAUAUUGAUCUAUUCUAUUUAUAUAUUGAUAUAUUUCUAUCUAUAUAUGAAUUGCUGUUCGUUAUUUUCGCUAAAACUCGAGAACGGCUAGACCGAUUUGGUCUUGAAUUAUUUGUGGAAGUCCAGAGAAGGUUUAAAAGGUAAAUAAAUAUGAAAAUGCUCGGAAUUAAAUAAAAGUAACAAUUUUGUUUUUCUUUUGACGUGUCCCCCGUCGGACGGAUUCCUUUGGUUUGUUUCAAGUUUAUUUUAUACAAAACUUUAGGUCUUUUAUUUAUCGAUUGAGGCACUACGAAGUCUGCCGAGUCAGCUAGUACUCCAUAAAAAAUUGUUGCAAGUUGUAUGGAAGAUAACAGGCGGCGUUUAUUAUCACCGAAAUCUAACCGCUCCAGCUGCAUGCAUACAAAUCGUUCUAUGGAACAAUCCUUCGCUCGGAGCGCUCUUUUAUACAACUAUAAUAAAAAAAUAUUGAGAACAAGCAGAUAAAAGUAGUACGUAACUAAAAUAGUGGCUAUUGUACGAAGCCACGCUUGUCUUUCAGCACUUCUCGUUCAAAGCGAAUAGAAAAGCUAUUUUCCGGAGGCGUUUCCCCUGCUUUGCGUCCAUUACGUUCGUUCUAUUCGAAAUUAUGUACAUACAGAUAAAAAGAAUUGCUAUUUCUGAAAUGGUUUUCAUAAAUAUUUUAUUUAUAAUGAGCUAUUGGAUAGAUAAUUUAGGUAUAUUGUA